GGGGAAUAUUGGACAAUGGGCGAAAGCCUGAUCCAGCCAUGCCGCGUGUGUUAAGAAGGUCUUCGGCUUGUAAAGCACUUUAAGUUGGGAGGAAGGGCAGUUACCUAAUACGUGAUUGUUUUGACGUUACCGACAGAAUAAGCACCGGCUAACUCUGUGCCAGCAGCCGCGGUAAUACAGAGGGUGCAAGCGUUAAUCGGAAUUACUGGGUGUAAAGGGAGCGUAGGCGGGAAGGCAAGUUGAAUGUUUAAUCUAUGGGCUCAACCCAUAUCAGCAGUCAAAACUGCUUUUCUUGAGUGAAGUAGAGGUUGGCGGAAUUCCUAGUGUAGCGGUGAAAUGCGUAGAUAUUAGGAGGAACACCAGUGGCGAAGGCGGCCAACUGGGCUUUUACUGACGCUGAUGAUCGAAAGCGUGGGGAGCAAACA
rnacentral:rRNA from 1 species